UGAUGGGAAGAUAUGGGGUAUCAUUAAAGCAACUAGCACUUCGGAAAUUCUUGUGUCAAUCACCCAUGCAGGUCCUAGGGGUAGUAAACUUGGAUCAGAGAAGUCCAUAAAUAUUCCGCGGAGCAAUAUUCGGUAUGAAGGCCUCACUUCAAAAGACCUUAUAGAUCUUGACUUUGUGGCCAACCAUGCAGACAUAGUGGGUGUAUCAUUUGUCCGAGAUGUCCGUGACAUUCUACUGUUGCGCCAAGAACUUGAGAAGCGGAAAAGAAGGGACUUGGGGAUUUCUUUAAAGAUCG
rnacentral:misc_RNA from 1 species